AAGAAACUAAGAAACAAAUUGAAGAAAUCAGGGAAGAAUUCUGGUCAACACUACAACAACAAAUACAAUUAGCAUUGUGGCAGGUAAUAACUUUGGACCACGGUUUUCCUUUUUUGGCUCCUCUAUUUUAGCUAAUGUUCCUUGUCUUUUGGGCUACACAGGCUAUCCCAGGGACCAUCGACACCACACCAAACGGACCAAGUAUCAACAACAACUUUAUUACACCACCACGUAUAGAGGAUGCAGCUAU
rnacentral:lncRNA from 1 species